AUCAAAUGAUGAUAAACCAAAUUAUUUCUGAGAUUUUCUUUGAGGUAUUACAAAUCGAGCUUUUUAAAACUGAUGAUC